CCUACGGGAGGCAGCAGUGAGGAAUAUUGGUCAAUGGGCGCGAGCCUGAACCAGCCAAGUAGCGUGAAGGAUGACUGCCCUACGGGUUGUAAACUUCUGUUAUCAAGGAAUAAAGUGAGGCACGUGUGCCUUUAUGUAUGUACUUUAUGAAUAAGGAUCGGCUAACUACGUGCCAGCAGCCGCGGUAAGACGGAGGAUCCGAGCGUUAUCCGGAUUUAUUGGGGUUAAAGGGAGCGGAGAUGGGUUGUUAAGUCAGUUGUGAAAGUUUGCGGCUCAACCGUAAAAUUGCAAUUGAUACUGGCAUUCUUGAGUACAGUUGAGGUAGGCGGAAUUCGUGGUGUAGCGGUGAAAUGCUUAGAUAUCACGAAGAACUCCGAUUGCGAAGGCAGCCUACUAAGCUGCCACUGACAUUGAGGCUCGAAAGUGUGGGUAUCAAACAGGAUUAGAUACCCCUGUAGUC
rnacentral:rRNA from 1 species